AUGAACGCUAGCGACAGGCCUAACACAUGCAAGUCGAGGGGCAGCACAAGGAGCAAUCUGAGGUGGCGACCGGCGCACGGGUGAGUAACACGUAUGCAACCUGCCUGUAAGCGGGGAAUAACCCGUUGAAAGACGGACUAAUACCGCAUAAUACUAAAUUACUGCAUGGUAAUUUAUUUAAACAUUUAUGGCUUACAGAUGGGCAUGCGCAUGAUUAGCUAGUUGGAGAGGUAACGGCUCCCCAAGGCAACGAUCAUUAGGGGUUCUGAGAGGAAGGUCCCCCACACUGGUACUGAGACACGGACCAGACUCCUACGGGAGGCAGCAGUGAGGAAUAUUGGUCAAUGGACGAGAGUCUGAACCAGCCAAGUCGCGUGCAGGAAGAAUGUCCUAAUGGAUUGUAAACUGCUUUUGCAGGGGGAAUAAAGUGCAUCACGUGUGAUGUUUUGUAUGUACUCUGCGAAUAAGGAUCGGCUAACUCCGUGCCAGCAGCUGC
rnacentral:rRNA from 1 species